rnacentral:rRNA from 1 species
AGAGUUUGAUCAUGGCUCAGAUUGAACGCUGGCGGCGUGCCUAACACAUGCAAGUCGAGCGGACCCUUCGGGGUUAGCGGCGGACGGGUGAGUAACACGUAGGCAACCUGCCUGUAAGACCGGGAUAACUACCGGAAACGGUAGCUAAGACCGGAUAGCUGGUUUCUCCGCAUGGAGAGAUCAUGAAACACGGCGCAAGC